UAGAGCUACGUGGCGGCGGCGGUGGUAAGCGGUAGGUGUGGGUCGUUCAUCGUAAUUCCUGGGUGGAAAGCGGUCGCAUGCGGUUGUGUAAGACAGAGGGCAGAUCCCCUGGCUCAACCUUGGAACUGCCUUUGUGACUGCAAGGCUAGAGUACGGCAGAGGGGGAUGGAAUUCCGCGUGUAGCAGUGAAAUGCGUAGAUAUGCGGAGGAACACCGAUGGCGAAGGCAAUCCCCUGGGCCUGUACUGACGCUCAUGCACGAAAGCGUGGGGAGCAAACAGGAUUAGAUACCCCAGUAGUC
rnacentral:rRNA from 1 species